rnacentral:lncRNA from 1 species
UCUCCUUAAAAAACAUUCGAAAUCAACAAUAAAAACUCUUGCAGCAACCCAAUCUAAGUUAAUUUGUCUGGUAGAGAAGUACAUGUUGCCGGGGACAGGAGUGACGCCACACCCAGCAGAGCGGCUAGAUGGGCGCCCAGCAACUACAGCUCGGCGUAACCACUUUGGCGAACGGGGUUGUCCAGGGCGAGCGUUUGACUUUGAUCGGGCACCACUAAUGUGCUGAUGAUUUAAGGCAGCACCCAUUCAUCAUUCAUAUACUUGCAUCUACUCCAACAUAUGACAUGUGUUCAGGCUUGCACUGCUAGGGCAUAUGAUAGGUGUGUUCCUGUAAUUCAUUCAGUGAAAACAACAAGAAAAAUUGAAACGUCAAAUCAAUAAUGGUUGGACAAUUUCCAACGGAGAAGAAAUCAAUGAAAAUCUUACCCACAUCCACACCCACACACGUCAGUAACCAGGACUCGCCCUCGUCCUUUCUGUAUGACACCGUGGAGGAGGGGCCGCGGAGCACGCGUGUAGCACAACACCAUGAGGGCUGAGGAGCACGAGUCCAUAUCAAUGAAGGGCCG